rnacentral:lncRNA from 1 species
UUCUUCUUCUUCUUCUUCUUCUUCUUCUUCUGCCUCUGCCUCUGCCUCUGCCUCCUCUUCUUCUUCUUCUUCUUCUUCUUCUUCUUCUUCUUCUUCUUCUUCUUCUUCUUCUUCUUCUUCUUCUUCUUCUUCUUCUCUCUUUCUCUUUGUGUGUGUUUGUGUGUGUGUGUGUGUGUGUGUACACAUAUGUUUUUCUUACAGUUAUUACUCAUUUAAUACUAAAAUCACAGAAAAGCCCAGAGGUGGAUCACCAUGCCUGAGAUGAGUUCCUGCAACCAUACAUUCUGGGUCUCCCUUGGUACCUCCUGGUAGAACCUUCUCUGAACAUCCUGGAAUCUGCCUGGAGAUCUAUACUCCAACUAACAAAUCCAAGGGCCUUGGCUGUGUCAGCCCUUGAUCACAGCUCUGUGGCUCUGGCCAGAACAACUCAAGGAUUUGGGGCAGUCAGCUGCUCCGCCUCAGGUGCUGAGAGCUCUUUCCUGGGCAGCUGUGUACCUCGGCCAGGACAGGGGAUUGAACCUAGAACCUUGUGCAUGCUGACCAAGUGCUCCACCCCUGAGUUACACCCAUCAGUGGCCCAUACUUCAUCUUGUAAAGAGGGAAAAAAUCUAGACAGAACCCACAUUCGAAAUCCUCCUCCACACUCUCUACAAGCAGCUGGCCCACAGUUGCGCAACCUGGCUCAGAUGGAGUUUACAGUUCUCCACUUCCUGCCUAUGGAGUUGUAAGUCAGCUGCCUUCCACGUCACCUCAGCAGCUCAUCACAGGAAAACACCACACAAAAUCCCUCUCCUGGAUGACGCACCACUGCCUUCCUGCCGGCCUCGGCCUUGCCUUGUGUAAGGAAGGGCAUUCCUCUGCUGGAUUUGACACUUGGGAGCAUGAUGGAGUAUGCAAGAUCUCUUGUUCCAGAGAACUCCUAUUGAGGGCUAGUCCCAUCCAUGGAAGGUGCUGAUCCUGUCUGGUCGGGAUCCAAAGUCACUUUGUGAGCCUGGCCUCAGGCUGCAGAGGCUGGAGGUCACUUAGUAGGAUCUUCAUGCCUGGGAAGCCAGAGCAACUUCUGAGGAGAAGCACCCAGCUGGAAGGGUCUCAGGGCAGCCAGGCCUGUGGUCAGGGAAGGCUGUGGUCUGGCGUAGCCACCCACCCUUUCCGGUGGGGGCCUCAGCGCCUGGGGAAAUGGCUCUGUGAACAAUGUCUCACUCUGUUCUUGGCUAAUUCAGCUACACCUUACACCAGUCCCCCGCUGACCCCCACAGAUCACAUCUUCUGCCCUCCCCCCCCAAAAAACAACCCAGAUGCCACACACCCAGUACCUCUGGGCUCUCUGACACAACACACGGGUCAGGGCCGGAGGGGGGGAGGGGGAUUCUGAGUCUGGGGAUUAGGGCUGGCACAUCAGCAGAGCAUAACCACAAACAUCCAUCCAGCCUUCCUCUCAGCCAGCCGUAGCUCCUUUGUUCAGCCACUUUGAACAGGCACCAGUCAUGCCGGUCAGUGCUGAGAGAGGUCUCCAAGAAGAUGAGCAGCUUGUCUCCUGUCAAACAGCCUGGAAGCAGCCAAAGCAGAAACAAGGGCGGAUCCCUGUGCACUCAGAGCCCACGGAACUAACCACUGCACCAACAUGCCCUUUAAAGUCCUGAAGUCCUCAUGAGGUCAAGGGCUCCAGGGGUGCUGUGUGAAGAUCUCAGCAUACACAUACACACCCAUUCCUGGGAACCAAAGCCUGUCCACAGUCUGCCUUUUUCAGACAGCUUUGAGGAGGGCCCUGCAAGGUCCUAAGGUUUUCUAAGCCAAGGUCUCCAACGUCACCCGGAGAAGAACCUCGUCUCCCACAACCCAGCCUGAACCCAAGAGCCUGGCCCAGGGUACUUUUAGUAUUUGUUAAGUUGGGGUAAGGGUUCCAGUCCUGUCCCAGUGCACUCGGCCUGACAGGCCUAUGGGUCACCAGCCCCUUCCCCCCCAGCCCUUAUAGCCACAGGCCCCAAGCCAGGCCUGGUUUCCGGAGCUGCCGCCAGCAGGGCCAGCCACACCACACAUGGUUUUAAUCAGUAGCCUGCCUGAAUGAAUAGUGCCUUGUACAAGCGCCACAGGGCUCACCUCCAUGGUGGGGCAGGCCAGGUAGGCAGCCUCAGGGAGGGUGAAGUGUAAGGAGACCUCAGCUGGGGAGGGGGAUUGGGGCAAUACCACAGUACGGCACAGCAGGGACUAGCCAGGGCCUGUGUUCAGACAGAGGGGUGAAGCUCCAGCCCUGCCACCCACAGUCUGUGUCUAGGCAGCUCAGGCAACCUCUGAGCCUCAGCCACACCCUGGCACAGAAGACUGAAGAGAGCUCCAGGCAGGGCAGUGAGGACUCUGAGAAGGGACACUGGGCGCACAGCAAGCACUUCGCAUGUCCAGCCCAACCUGUUGGGAGACAGGGGCAGGGGGACUCACAAAUGUGAUUAACUCUGGGGAGUGUGUUUGGAGCAAGGUCAGAAAGGUGAAGUGGUGUUUGUGAGCAAAGGGGAUCCAGUUACAUCUAUGGUUCCAUUGGCUCCAGGGCUCCUUCCCCUGAAACUCCCUGCUUGAUUCCAAAGGUAUUCACUUGAGCCUGGUCAGAAGAGACCUCAGCCGGUGACAGGCCAGCUACCCUACUCUGCUGCAGCCAGAGCUUUGAUGACAGGAGCACUGUCCUCUGUCAUCCAUGAACACUGCUGGGUGCGGUACUCUUCGCCCAUGCUGUCCCUGUUCUCUUUUGUCAGCUUGACGCAAGCUGGAGUGACCUGGGAAAGAGGGAUGUCACUUAAGAAAAAGCCUCCAUCAGAUCGGCUUCUCAAGCCGGUGGGGCGUUUUCCUGAUUAAUGACUGAUUCAGAAGGGCCCAGCCCACGGUGGGCAGCGCCACCCCUAGGCAGGUAGUCCUGGGUUGCACAAGAAAGCAACAUAGCAAACCGGGGAUUGAGCUGAUCAGUAAUAUUCCUUUGAGCCUCCCACGAGGUUUCUGCUUCCGUUCCUGCCACCAGGUUCCUGUCUUGAGGUCCUGCCUUGGCUUCUCUCAACGCACUGGGACCUGGGAUACGGAAGUGAAAUAAACUGCAAAGUGUAAGU